AUCCAGUUGACGAGUCCCAAAUAAGACGAAAUUAACGUCCUGGAU
rfam:Schistosoma mattheei strain Denwood, Zambia genome assembly, scaffold: SMTD_scaffold0009013